UCAGGGGAUGACCACACACUGCAGGGGUUAGGUGUCACUGCAGGGAUGACCACACACUGCAGGGGUGAGGUGUCACUGCAGGGAUGACCACACACUGCAGGGGUGAGUUGUCACUGCAGGGAUGACCACACACUGCAGGGGUGAGGUGUCACUGCAGGGAUGACCACACACUGCAGGGGUGAGGUGUCCCUGCAGGGAUGACUAGGAAGCUGAUUGAGCUCCUCAGGGCACUCCCUGUCCUGAAUGUGCUUCCUUCUAGGUACUGUGACUCGACCACUCUUCCUCCUGCAGGAGACACAUCAUUUGUCACAGAGCAGGACGGCUGCACCAGGAAGACCCAUAGCAUAACCAGGACGCUACAAUGAAAACAUGACUGGCCCUUCAUGCUGAAUGACAG
rnacentral:lncRNA from 1 species